GACGAACCGUGCGAACGUUAUUCGGAAUCACUGGGCUUAAAGGGCGCGUAGGCGGACUGCCAAGUCCGGGGUGAAAUCUUUCGGCUCAACCGGAAAAUAGCCUCGGAGACUGGCGGUCUAGAGGGGGGUAGGGGCAGCUGGAACUUCCGGUGGAGCGGUGAAAUGCGUUGAUAUCGGAAGGAACGCCGGUGGCGAAAGCGAGCUGCUGGACCUUUUCUGACGCUGAGGCGCGAAAGCCAGGGGAGCAAACGGG
rnacentral:rRNA from 1 species